AUACGUAGGGGGCAAGCGUUGUCCGGAAUUAUUGGGCGUAAAGCGCGCGCAGGCGGUUCUUUAAGUCUGGUGUUUAAGUGCGGGGCUCAACCCCGUGACGCACUGGAAACUGGGGGACUUGAGUGCAGAAGAGGAGAGCGGAAUUCCACGUGUAGCGGUGAAAUGCGUAGAGAUGUGGAGGAACACCAGUGGCGAAGGCGGCUCUCUGGCCUGUAACUGACGCUGAGGCGCGAAAGCGUGGGGAGCAAACAGGAUUAGAUACCCUGGUAGUCCACGCCGUAAACGAUGAGUGCUAGGUGUCGGAAGGGUCCACCCUGCGGUGCCGAAGUCAACACAUUAAGCACUCCGCCUGGGGAGUACGGUCGCAAGACUGAA
rnacentral:rRNA from 1 species